CAAGACAACUUUACGGAGUUGACGAUUGACGGAGCGAAGCGACGUCAAAGCGUAUACAAAGUCGAGUUGGCUUAGGGAUACGUUCGUUGGGUAGGGGAGCGUUCUGUAAGCCUGUGAAGGUGGCCUGUGAGGGUUGCUGGAGGUAUCAGAAGUGCGAAUGCUGACAUAAGUAACGAUAAAGCGGGUGAAAAGCCCGCUCGCCGGAAGACCAAGGGUUCCUGUCCAACGUUAAUCGGGGCAGGGUGAGUCGACCCCUAAGGCGAGGCCGAAAGGCGUAGUCGAUGGGAAACGGGUUAAUAUUCCCGUACUUGGUGUUACUGCGAAGGGGGGACGGAGAAGGCUAUGUUGGCCGGGCGACGGUU
rnacentral:rRNA from 1 species